ensembl:lncRNA
UCAGUCGUGAUGGAGAAUACCGGGUUCAUCUGUCUCCUGCUGUGUGUGAGCGUACACACGGCCAACAGCGAAACAUUUUGUCCAGAGAAAAACAUCUGUAUGCUUAAAUGUGGAGAGACUAACGGUAACGUGACCUGGAGCAGAGAUGUGGGUGGAAAAAGGGAGAAGAUUCUCAGCGUCUACAAGGACACGGUUAUCAAACACAUCACUGAUCCAGACAGACGUUACAGCUCAGGAAGACGUCUGAUUCUGAGUAUAUUUAAUGUCUCGUUCUCAGACUCUGGUCGAUAUUACUGUAAUGAGAACGCAGUGGAGGUCAGUGUGACAUCAAAGACUCUGAAAAUCAUGAAAACGGGGGAUUGGUUGACGGUAACAGCUUUAGUAGCCGGGGGUUGUGCGCUUGUUUUAGUGUCACUUCUGGUUCUGUGGAGGUGUUUCUCCAAAAGGAAAGGUAGCACCGCCAAAGUACAGCACGAUUCAGCUGAAAAAGAAUCUUUGGAUGAGAUACAUGUUUAUGAGUCAAUUUACGAGACUCCCUCAGCUCCUCAACCAGAAUUGACAGGCUGCACACUUUAGGCAAACAGCUGAAACUAAAAACAGUCUAUAAGAGUCCAAAAUGUGCAGCAUCUCCACAGCAGAUCCCAAAAGAUGGAUUUUACUAUCUGGCUACACAUCCAGGAAUCCAGAACAG